rnacentral:rRNA from 1 species
UACGAAGGGGGCUAGCGUUGCUCGGAAUCACUGGGCGUAAAGGGUGCGUAGGCGGGUCUUUAAGUCAGGGGUGAAAUCCUGGAGCUCAACUCCAGAACUGCCUUUGAUACUGAGGAUCUUGAGUUCGGGAGAGGUGAGUGGAACUGCGAGUGUAGAGGUGAAAUUCGUAGAUAUUCGCAAGAACACCAGUGGCGAAGGCGGCUCACUGGCCCGUACGA